AUUGAACGCUGGCGGCAGGCCUAAUACAUGCAAGUCGAGCGGAAACGAAGGGAGCUUGCUCCCAGGCGUCGAGCGGCGGACGGGUGAGUAACGCGUGGGAAUUUGCCCAUCGGUGGGGAAUAACGUUUGGAAACGAACGCUAAUACCGCAUACGUCGAGAAAUCGAGAAAGACUUAUCGCCGAUGGAUAAGCCCGCGUUGGAUUAGCUUGUUGGUAGGGUAAUGGCCUACCAAGGCGAUGAGCCAUAGCUGGUCUGAGAGGACGAUCAGCCACGCUGGGACUGAGACACGGCCCAGACUCCUACGGGAGGCAGCAGCUAAGAAUAUUGGACAAUGGAGGGAACUCUGAUCCAGCCAUGCCGCGUGAGUGAAGAAGGCCUUCGGGUUGUAAAGCUCUUUUAGUCGUGAGGAUGAUGACGGUAGCGACAGAAAAAGCACCGGCUAACUUCGUGCCAGCCGCCGCCGUAA
rnacentral:rRNA from 1 species